AUUGAACGCUGGCGGCAGGCCUAACACAUGCAAGUCGAGCGGAUGAAGGGAGCUUGCUCCUGGAUUCAGCGGCGGACGGGUGAGUAAUGCCUAGGAAUCUGCCUGGUAGUGGGGGAUAACGUCCGGAAACGGGCGCUAAUACCGCAUACGUCCUGAGGGAGAAAGUGGGGGAUCUUCGGACCUCACGCUAUCAGAUGAGCCUAGGUCGGAUUAGCUAGUUGGUGGGGUAAAGGCCUACCAAGGCGACGAUCCGUAACUGGUCUGAGAGGAUGACCAGUCACACUGGAACUGAGACACGGUCCAGACUCCUACGGGAGGCAGCAGUGGGGAAUAUUGGACAAUGGGCGAAAGCCUGAUCCAGCCAUGCCGCGUGUGUGAAGAAGGUCUUCGGAUUGUAAAGCACUUUAAGUUGGGAGGAGGGGCAGUAAGUUAAUACCUUGCUGUUUUGACGUUACCAACAGAAUAAGCACCGGCUAACUUCGUG
rnacentral:rRNA from 1 species